UACGUAGGGGGCAAGCGUUGUCCGGAUUUAUUGGGCGUAAAGAGCGUGUAGGCGGCCUGACAGGUCUGCUGUGAAAACUCGAGGCUCAACCUCGAGAUGUCGGCGGAAACCGUCUGGCUAGAGUCCGGAAGAGGAGAGUGGAAUUCCUGGUGUAGCGGUGAAAUGCGCAGAUAUCAGGAAGAACACCUAUGGCGAAGGCAGCUCUCUGGGACGGUACUGACGCUGAGACGCGAAAGCGUGGGGAGCGAAAAGG
rnacentral:rRNA from 1 species